rnacentral:tRNA from 1 species
GGAGUUUAGCUCAGUGGUAGAGCACUUGCUUAGCAAGCGCAAGGCCCUGGGUUCGGUCCCCAGCUCCG